GAUGAACGCUGGCGGCAGGCCUAACACAUGCAAGUCGAGCGAAGCCUUCGGGCUUAGCGGCGGACGGGUGAGUAACGCGUGGGAACGUGCCCUUUGGUACGGAAUAGACCCGGGAAAGUGGGAGUAAUACCGUAUGUGCCCUUCGGGGGAAAGAUUUAUCGCCAAAGGAUCGGCCCGCGUUGGAUUAGGUAGUUGGUGGGGUAAUGGCCUACCAAGCCGACGAUCCAUAGCUGGUUUGAGAGGAUGAUCAGCCACACUGGGACUGAGACACGGCCCAGACUCCUACGGGAGGCAGCAGUGGGGAAUCUUAGACAAUGGGGGAAACCCUGAUCUAGCCAUGCCGCGUGAUCGAUGAAGGCCUUAGGGUUGUAAAGAUCUUUCAGUGGGGAAGAUAAUGACUGUACCCACAGAAGAAGCCCCGGCUAACUCCGUGCCAGCAGCCGCCGUAAGAC
rnacentral:rRNA from 1 species